rnacentral:ncRNA from 2 species
UUAGGCUGCGGGCGAACCAGUCGUACCCAUUCGUUGGGUCAGGGAAUCCGGUGCGAAUCCGGAGCUGACGCGCAGCGGUGAGGGGGACGGAGGUGGCAUCGGCCACUGGAUCGCGAGAUCCGGGAAGGCGCCACCGUCCGGACGAACCCGAGUCCGAAGACCUGCUGGUUCGCGGUCGACACG